AUUCCGUAGGUGAACCUGCGGAAGGAUCAUUAUUGGAUUUUGAAACUUCAGGCUGCUGCUGGCUCUCCUCGGAGGGCAUGUGCACGCUUGUUGUCCAUUAUUUCUCCCACUGUGCACAAAUUGUAGACCUUUCAGUAGGCCUAUGUUGUUUUUCACAAUCUCUGAAUGUAAUAGAAUGGUUUUGAAUCUUGGGAAAUACAAUACAACUUUCAGCAACGGAUCUCUUGGCUCUC
rnacentral:misc_RNA from 1 species